rnacentral:lncRNA from 1 species
AUAUGAAGAAGUCAUUCGAUCUUAAGAGGUCCUUUUAAGAAAAAAGACACCUACACAUACUUUUGUUUGAACGGAUGUGAAAAUUGAAAAGAAAAAGAGAAAGUAAAAGUGGGGAUGGGGGCUUGCUUCUGAGAGAAAGUUUGAAAGUGAGAGGGGAUUAAGGUUUUAAAAAAUAAAAAAUAAAAUAAGUAAAGGUAAAAGUAAAAAGGAUAAGAUUGAAAUUUAAAAAAAAAAAUUGGGAAAGUAGAGGGAGAAGAUGGGGUGGUGAAGGAAGUAACAGUCAAAAAACUAUUAUACAUUUAUUUAGGCUUCAAUAAAUAUAACGGGUGUUGCUUCCUCCACGACCUCAAGUGUUCCUGUACCUUCCCACUAUUUUCUUUUAUUCUAAAAAUACUUUACACCUCUCAACUAUUUUUUUAUUCCAAAAAUACCCUACACAUCCCUGUUAUCCUUAAC